AAAAAAAAAAAAAAAAAGGAAGUUACCUUUCAAAUGCCAUUUAUUCACAUAUAUAUGUAUACACACACAUAGAUACAAAUGUACACACACAUAUUUUUGUAUCCUUCAAGCAUUUGUUCUAAGAUUUCAAAUUACAAACCAUUAAUCUCUUGAUGUCCUAAUUGUCUAACAAAAUCAAAAAGAACAAUAUUGAAUUUUAUUUGUUCUUAGGCAGAUCGAAAUUGGUGCAUAUUGGAAACCAUAAUGAGUAUUCUGGGAGUUAAGCCUUCUCUUCCCCACAUUAUUAAGUAUACAUUCUCUAAUAAUAUUUGGUGGACUAAUUCUCUGGGCAAUGAAUAAUUUCAUCUUGGUUUUUUAACUGUAAUUUUAACAACUUUAUGUUUUAAGAAGAGAUGAUGUGUGUAAAUCAAUUAGCAAAGUGGAGUAUCACAGGCUGAUUAUGCACCGUGAAUGUGAAAAGCGAGCAAAUUUAGACUUCCCUUAGAAGGCAGGUCAGGAGAUACAGCAAAUUGGGAUCUGCGAAGCUGAACUUCCUCUUGUUACCAGAUUUUACUGCUUCUCAGUGCCCUCCUGCUGUAAACAUUCCCACCAGGUGACUCCCUAUGUGGGGAAACCUGUUGAGUAACUUUUUUUUUUUAACUCCUAACCAUUUCUGCAUUACAGUUCUCCUGCUCUGGAGAUUUUAAGAGUUGAAAACUCUUUGGGAAUUCUUGUAAAAAGUACAUUUUGUCUCAUCCCCAAAGAAUUUCCCAGGCCCCUUACAGAAUAUGGUUGUAACAAGGCACAUACAUACUCUCUGGCAGCAGUUCUGGAGGUGGGGCUUUGAGAUGGGGUCAGGAAUGAGUUGUUGGGCUAUAUAAUGUUCUGCAGUGCUAGCUGCCAGCUCCUCCUCACAGAUGCACCUCCGGUGCUGUGGGUCGUAAUCUAGAAUACCAUCACUAGGUGACUAAGUCAUACUCACAUUCCUUUCAUUGACCUGGUGGCCAUAAAUUGUUUCCUCCCAUGCCUAAAGAUUCACAGAGAACAGAAAAGUACUAGAUUACUACAUUAUUAGCAGACUAAUGGUGGGAAAUGUCUAUAGUCAUCGACCUCUAUGUUUAUUUUAUUUUAUUUUAUUUUUUUAUUUUGAGAUGGAGUUUCACUCUUGUUCCCCAGGCUGGACAACAAGAGCGAAACUCC
rnacentral:lncRNA from 10 species